rnacentral:lncRNA from 1 species
AAGAGUUUAGGCAUUUGGGUGAUUCCUCCUCGGUCACUGCUGCCGACCUUGGUGCGAAGCAAGGUAAUACUGACUGUACAAAAUCCCAUUUUGAUUUAGUAGGCUUCGAUGUGUUGGUUCUGUAUUGAGGAGUCAGCGACAUGCACGCAUAUUGUCUUUUUUUUUCUUCAGAAUAUAGAUUGUCUAUAUUCAAUUUUGUGUUAUGGUCAAGUUACUUUUAUCUUUGCACCUUUUCAAUAGUUUUCAGUAAUAUUUAUUUUCGAAGCUACGAUGGUUGCAUUUCUGAUAUUUGAACUAAAAAAUGCACUUUGGUUGCAUAUAGCAUAGAAAUUUUUGAUUUAUUGUUUGAAAGAGGUUAAUUAGAAUUUAUCAAUAAAAUUUAAUAAAACUUAUAGUUGUCCAGGAAAGUUAAAACGCCUUGAAUUUAAAUCAAUCGACAUAUAAUUGUGUGGGAGAGUUAGCAUAAUGCCUUGAAUUCAAAUCUUCAACCAACAUAUAAUGUCCAAGGAAACUGGAAGGGAAAAAAAAAAGUUGAAUUUAAAUCCUCUUCCAAAUAAGUCUUCCUUUGUUCUGUCCAUGUGCACAAUAUUCUAGUAACUUGUAUCAGCUUAGAGUCUGUUAUUUCAUUUGUGGCUUCUACUCAUUUAAUGUUUUAUGUUGGUGUAAACAUGUUUUUUGAUGGUCAUUUGGAUAUUAUAAUGUUGUGGAUAUUAUCUUUGUCAUUAUUUUAAGGACAUUACUGAAUGCCAAAAUUAUCAUCCUUUUACAAGGACUAACAAACCUUUUUGAGUUAUUGUUUUUGGUACUCACUCUCCAUGGAUGGUCAAUCUGUCGAUGUCUUCUACUUUAUUCUUGUAAUGUGUAUACUUAGUUUCAACUUUCUUAUGCUUAAUGAUGUGCUUGUUUUUCCACCUAAAAUUAUUGAAUUUCAUAAUAUCCAUUGUUGAUGAGGAAUGGACAGCCUUUUAUUAUAGAUUAGCGUAAAUAGAGCAAUGAAGUAAGUUAAUAGAUGAUGUUAGCGAUACUUAAUUUUUUGGUUAACAAAUGGGUGGGGUUAUGAAAAUUAACAUGAAUUCUAGUUGAGUUAGGGCUCAGCAUACAAUUAUUGAGAUCUCAGAACAUUACCCGUUCCACUCAUUAAAUAAAUGCUAGCUAGCACUACUUUUUAUACCCACAUAUAGAAGCACAGUAUUGAUCCUAGCAAGUAUUUCAACCUACUUAAGGUCCUUUAUAUGGUUUUCUUUUUCUUGUAUUAUUUAUCAUUCUCUCUCUCUCUCCCUCCCCCCCCCCUCUCCGUGCACUGCCUAGAUCCCACAUGGUUUUUCGAUGGAUUUGUGAAAAAGGACAUGAGCAAGGAGCUGUCUGAACCAAAGAAUGGAUGUUAGAUAAUUUUUUACUUAUAAUGACUGUAUAACUGUUCUUUAUGCUAUAAACAGGGCUACAAGCUUGCCAUGCUGUUCAUGAAGGCUUUUGGAUUUGGCCAGAUGAUUGGCUCGAUUGAGUCUAUUUGAAAUUAAAAAAAGAACCAAUUUGGAUUUUAUUUAAAGCUCGGCCAAUGCAUAAACAAGUAGAGUCCCCCCUCCCUCCUAAAAAAAAAAGCAACCAAAAAGAAAAAAUGCUUAGCUUGGCUGGAUGACAAAUUUGAUCGAACUUGAUUUAACUUCUCAGCUGGAGCUAGGAUAUCCUUUUCGAAUGAAUUGUGCCAGUAUUAGUACUUGACUUUGGCUUAUUUGUGCACCUUGACAGAAUGGGUUAACCAAGAUGACAGUGGACUGUGUCUCACAGAGAUAGUGAAGCAGUGCUUUUUUCUUUUCCCUUUUUCCAUGAAGCUAAGACACAUCAUGCUAUUCCCCACGCUUACAUGGUAUUUGGUGGAUGGUCCAACCCUAACAUUAUACUGAUCUAUUGGAUGAGGAAACAAGCAGAGAUGGAACAUCGAUUGAUAGCAUUAUUCUUAUUAUUUUUCCAAUAAGAAAAGAGAAUGCUUUAGCUUUAACUGACAAUUUACUACCAUAAUAAUUGUUUACACAUCUCAUGUUGUCGAUUAAUGGUGUCUUCAGUUAUACACACAUAUGACAUGUAGACAAUUGCAAGAUCCAUUACUCAUUUUAGUGAAGUAACAGCCAUUAUAGUAGACUAAUGUGAUAUUAGUUUACCUGUUGGCACCAAUCUCCUCAAUACAUGUGCAAGAUAAGAGGUAUCAAAUUCAAAAAAAAAGUGGUGGUAUUCCUAUUUCUCGAAAGCAGCCCUAGUAUCUUCAUUGUAACUCCAUUGAACUGGGUUAACAUGAAGCAACAACCUUUCUUGAUCAAAGAAGAAAGAUAGAACAAGGGAAGGUACCUUAUUUGUUGAUUAAUUACAUUAACAAGUGACACACAAUUUUUUUUUCCUUUUCUACUGCACAACAUAUUUUUUUCCUCAUUUUACAAUUUUAGGUAUUUCAUGUGCAAUGCAUGUGCAAUUUACUAGUAUGUAUAUAAAUUUUUAUUGAUUUAUUCUUCCAUGAAAGACCUUGUGAAGUAAAUUGUUUAUUUUAUUUAGUGUAUGGUAAAUCCCAAGAGCUUCAAAAACUUACGUGAAAUUCUGUUCAAGUUAGUGCAGUGAAGUAGUUUGAUGUUCAAAUAUCUAAAGAUGCCCAGGUAUCCCUUGCAUACGCUUGUUGAUUUAAAUUAUCACAGAAUAUCAUUAGGUUGUAUCUACUUUUCUGCCGCUUCUGAACAUCUCUCUUUAAGCUAUCCAGCACAUUAUUGACAUCCUAUUUAGUACAAUGGCUUCCCCUAACGACAUUAUAAAAAGCUGUUAAAGUAGGUCUCUGUGGUGGCUUUUGUUGCAAAAGGCAAGUAUAGUACUCUGAACCUUACAUGCUUUCUCAACGCUUGUGGGAUAGAGUGAAGCUUUCUUUUGCUUCAUGUGCAUGCUGUAUAUCGGUUCCCGUAUUGCUUGGAUAUUCUUGCAGUACACUGCAUAUGUUGGGCGAUUUGUAGAAGAGACAUGGUUGUACUAACCUCGGCACCAUAGGUCCCUUAGAGGAUAAAAGCAAUAAUCAUAAGUUUGACAAAGAAUUGGGAAGCCUUAUUUGACUCCAACUAGGUGUUGAGGCGCACAAACCUGUGCUUGUGCCUAAAUUUGUAAAUGAUCAAUAGAUUUAUAAGAAGAACUGUAGCAUGUUCUGCCCUAUUGGGUUGCUUGUUUGGUGUGCCAAAGCUAGAAUGAUUCUACAUGGUCCUAACAAGCCCGGCCUUGUGCCAGGUGGGCAUCAACCUGGAUGGCGCACAGUGCCGGCACAUGACCCCGUGGUCCAGGAAGCAGCAAAUCAUGCUGUGAAGACCAUCCAGCAGAGGUCCAACUCGCUGGCCCCCUAUGAGUUGCUCGAGAUCCUUCUUGCACAGGCAGAGGUUGGCUUCUCUUGCCUCACCUAGUUUCCCCUAGUUUACCUUAGUAUUAAUUGCUUUCUGGAUGCAUUAGAAUAAGUAUUUGGUGCCUAUCUACUCGGCUUUUAU